rnacentral:rRNA from 1 species
UACGUAGGGUGCGAGCGUUAAUCGGAAUUACUGGGCGUAAAGCGUGCGCAGGCGGUUCUCCAAGUCCGUUGUGAAAGCCCCGGGCUCAACCUGGGAAUGGCAGUGGAAACUAGGGGACUUGAAUCUGGCAGAGGGGGGUGGAAUUCCCAGUGUAGCGGUGAAAUGCGUAGAUAUUGGGAGGAACACCGGUGGCGAAGGCGGCCCCCUGGACCGGUACUGACGCUGAGGCGCGAAAGCGUGGGUAGCAAACGGG